GUUGAGGGGAAUGUUGUUUGGAUCGAGGAUAUCAUCAUAUGCAUACGUAUAAUAUCGUAGAUGCGAUAUUACAAUAUGUAGGUAUAUCUAUGGAAUCGUCGGACCAGGCUUCAUUCCUCUCAAC
rnacentral:pre_miRNA from 1 species